rnacentral:rRNA from 1 species
UACAGAGGGUGCAAGCGUUAAUCGGAAUUACUGGGCGUAAAGCGUGCGUAGACGGUUAUUUAAGUCAGGUGUGAAAGCCCCGGGCUCAACCUGGGAAUUGCAUUUGAGACUGAAUAGCUAGGGUGCGGAAGAGGGAAGCGGAAUUUCCGGUGUAGCGGUGAAAUGCGUAGAUAUCGGAAAGAACACCAGUGGCGAAAGGCGGCUUCCGUGGUCCAGCACCGGACGUCAGGCACGAAAGCGUGGGGAGCAAACAGG